CCAAACUUCUCAGCACUGGGUACAGUCAGAAGCACAUGAUGCCUAACUCCUUAUAUUACACUCCAGAUACAUUAUCUUAUUUUAAACAGGUGAUGUCCACAUCCUUCCAGUGUUCCAGCAGUUUCCUAGUCUCCAUUCCUGAAAGAACCUGCAUUUCCCUUUCCCGGCUCCAUCCCUGGCUUCCUGUGUGCUCAGCCUCUUGCAGUUGUCAUCGUGCCUUCAGAAUGCAUUUGAUAGGUACAGGAAGUUAUACUAGACCGAGAUGGAACCAGCAAUCAAUAAAAAAAGAACUAUGUUUCCAAGAAAAAUGCAUCACGGCUUCCCACAGGAGUUAUGUACCAUAAGUCCUAAUAUUAUCUGUGGAACAAUGGAUCUAAUUUUUAGCUCUUCUGCUUGGCUUUCCCUGCGUCUCAACAAGUAGACUUUUUAACCUGCUCCUCCCCAACUGGCUGACGAUUCGUAGUCAAGAUUCCCUUUCCUCUUAACCCUUUCGUUAGCUAUCACAAUAUAAAAUCUCUUCCUCCAGCUUUAUUUCGCCUGGCUACUAGUUUAGUAUAUUUAUGGUGCAUGAGUCAUCAAGCUGCCAUCUGAUUGGAUAAAAACCAAGCACCCCUGGGACCAUCAGUCAAUUACAGCUAUUCUCAGCUUCAUUCACAGAUUUAUUAGCUUGCACACACAGAGAGAAAUUCAUUCAGCAAAGUUCAUUCAUAAAAAUUUCAACACUCUGCGUAUC